rnacentral:ncRNA from 1 species
AAACAAGUAUUGAUAAGGACAACAUUUUAUUCGAGUCUGAUUCACAGAGAAGGAGGCAUUGCUGCGAACCUCCCAAUUAGCCAAUAAAGUGACCCCCUUUGAACUUUCCAUUCGAAAUUUGAGUAGUUUGGAACGGAUCACACCGUUAUAUGUGACAAGAGUAGAACUUUUUUAUCGUUCUUAAAUCUUGGGUGGAACCACGUGUUGAAAGACUCGUCCCUUGC